rnacentral:rRNA from 1 species
GGUUAAAAAGCUCGUAGUUGGAUCUCUGUCGAGGGCGGGCGGUCCGCACUAUGUGCGUGUAUCUUGUUCGGUCUUGGCAUCCUCUUGGGGAAUGCUUCUGUGCUUGAUUGCAUGGGGUGGAAUUCAAGACUUUUACUUUGAGGAAAUUAGAGUGUUCACGGCAAGCUACCGCUUUGAAUACAUUAGCAUGGAAUAAUAAUAUAGGGCGUAAGUUCUAUUUUGUUGGUUUCUAGGACAUACGCAAUGAUUAAUAGGGACAAUUGGGGGCAUUCGUAUUAACGCGUCAGAGGUGGAAUUCUUAGAUUGCGUUACGACGAACUACUGCGAAAGCAUUUGCCAAAGAUGUUUUCAUUGAUCAAGAACGAAAGUAUGGGGAUCGAAGACGAUUAGAUACCGUCGUAGUCUAUACCAUAAACUAUGCCAAUUAGAGAUUGGGCGUCGUUCGUUUUAUGACUCGCUCAGCACCUUAUGAGAAAUCAAAAUUUUUGGGUUCCGGGGGGAGUAUGGUCGCAAGUCUGAAACUUAAAGGAAUUGACGGAAGGGCACCACCAGGAGUGGAGCCUGCGGCUUAAUUUGACUCAACACGGGAAAACUUACCAGGUCCAGACAUAGUAAGGAU